UGGGGAAUAUUGCGCAAUGGGGGAAACCCUGACGCAGCAACGCCGCGUGAUUGAAGAAGGCCUUCGGGUUGUAAAGAUCUUUAAUUCGGGACGAAAUUUGACGGUACCGAAAGAAUAAGCUCCGGCUAACUACGUGCCAGCAGCCGCGGUAAUACGUAGGGAGCAAGCGUUAUCCGGAUUUACUGGGUGUAAAGGGCGCGCAGGCGGGCCGGCAAGUUGGAAGUGAAAUCCGGGGGCUUAACCCCCGAACUGCUUUCAAAACUGCUGGUCUUGAGUGAUGGAGAGGCAGGCGGAAUUCCGUGUGUAGCGGUGAAAUGCGUAGAUAUACGGAGGAACACCAGUGGCGAAGGCGGCCUGCUGGACAUUAACUGACGCUGAGGCGCGAAAGCGUGGGGAGCAAACAGG
rnacentral:rRNA from 1 species